UACGUAGGGUGCGAGCGUUAAUCGGAAUUACUGGGCGUAAAGCGUGCGCAGGCGGUUGUGCAAGACAGGUGUGAAAGCCCCCGGCUCAACUGGGGAGGGUCACGCGAUACUGAUCGACUCGAAGGCAGGAGAGGGUAGUGGAAUUCCCGGUGUAGUGGUGAAAUGCGUAGAUAUCGGGAGGAACACCAGUGGCGAAGGCGACUACCUGGCCUGUUCUUGACGCUGAGGCGCGAAAGCUAGGGGGGCAAACGGG
rnacentral:rRNA from 1 species